GAUGAACGCUAGCGGCAGGCUUAAUACAUGCAAGUCGAGGGGCAGCACGGUUAGCAAUAACUGGUGGCGACCGGCGCACGGGUGCGUAACACGUAUACAAUCUACCUUAAACAGGGGGAUAGCCUUUCGAAAGAGAGAUUAAUACCCCGUAAUAAAUUGAACGGCAUCGUUUGAUUUUGAAAGCUCCGGCGGUUUGAGAUGAGUAUGCGUCUGAUUAGCUAGUUGGUGAGGUAACGGCUCACCAAGGCGACGAUCAGUAGGGGAUCUGAGAGGACUAACCCCCACACUGGUACUGAGACACGGACCAGACUCCUACGGGAGGCAGCAGUAAGGAAUAUUGGUCAAUGGAGGCAACUCUGAACCAGCCAUGCCGCGUGCAGGAUGACGGCCCUAUGGGUUGUAAACUGCUUUUAUACAAGAGAAAACCCUGGUACGUGUACCAGGUGAUAGUAUUGUAAGAAUAAGCAUCGGCUAACUUCGUGCCAGCAGCCGCGGUAAU
rnacentral:rRNA from 1 species